UCUUCCAUUCAUUUUCGCGUUCUUUUCUGCCAAUCUAUCAUCAUCGUCCCACACUGACUGAUUACGAUCGAAUUUCCGACGGAUGGACA
ensembl:ncRNA F37B12.7 ncRNA